rnacentral:rRNA from 1 species
GUGCUGCAUGGCUGUCCGUCAGUUCGUGUCGUGAGAUGUUGGGUUAAGUUCCCGUAACGAGCGCAACCCUUGUCCCUAGUUGCCAGCGAUUAAUGCGGGGAACUCUAGGGAAACUGCCGGUAAUAAACCGGAGAAAGGGGGGGAGAACUUCAAUUCUUCAGGGCCUUUUUGGCUAGGGCUCCCCCCUUGCUACAAGGGUCGGAAAAAAGGGUUCCAAACCCCCAGGAGGAACCUAAUCCCAAAAACCCAAUCUUAUUCCGGAUGGCAUCCGGCACCCCACCGGCUUAAAUCCGAAUCCCCUAUUAUUCCCGAAUCAAAAGGCCCCGGUAAAACUUCCCGGCCCUGG